CAUUCACCGCAUAUUGUUCUCAUUCUUAUUAUCGCCUUUACUCCUCCUUUCUCUUCGGUAUUCCUUGCUGAUUUUCUGAUUUAUCGUGGACUUCACUCUCUAUCUUAUUUUGUGCUUAAUCUAAGUUUCAUUUUACUUUGUGGUUUUCACAUUUUCUACUUUCUCUCUCAAAUCUCUUGAACUUGCAGGUAAAUUUUAUUUGUCUUUAAUAUCAAUUUUGUUGUUUUCUAUCUGUUGUUUCUCCUUUUUUGUUCCAAUUUAUUUCAACCCACACAAUACUAAACAAUGGAGGUUUACCUCAAAUUCAUGAAAAUAAACUGAAUUAAAGACAAAUUUUGUCUAUAUUCAAGAAGAUCCAGAAAUUUUCGAGUUAGGGUUUUGAUGGAUGAUAUUGGGGGAACGUUUUUUUUUUGCGGAGAUGAAUUGAAGUCAAGAGCUCAGCUUUGAGUAUUCAAUCUCUUUCAAAACUUGUAUUGCAAAUGUUUGUCUUCUUCUUGCUCUCAAGUCUAGCUGCAGCUAUUUUUUUCUCCUUUUUCUUAGUUCUUCCUUCCCUUUGGGUCAUUAUUGUUAGUUUUGAAAUUUAAUGGUUCCUGAUAUCUUCUCCUCUCAUUUUUUCAUCUUUUUUUCCCUUUGUAUUCUUCGACUAAUUCUGAAGUUUAGUGGUUAUGGCAGGUUUAAAUUGGCCAAUUAAAAUUUUCCUUUCUGCUUUUCGGGUUAUGGCGUGUCCAGAUUGGAGAAAUUUGAGUUCGAUAUUAAAGUUACCCGAUAAUUUUUCUUCAUUUCAUAUUUUUGGGUGGUAAAAUUGUGAUAAAUAUGAAUCGACUCUUUGUGCCUCUUUUGGUGCCGGCCAUGAGCCAAACAAAUAUGAAUGAUCUCGAAAGAGCACAAAUCGUAGUGUGCGAUUUUCUUCCCUGAAUGACAUAAAAAAAUAACACUUAUCAUAGACAAAUAGCAGAAACAUAAAAAAUUUACCUUGACACUUAAGUGAAUGGGAAAUUAGUUCAACUCUAGAUAGACAAUAGAUAGUUGCAUUUACUCUAGAUGGACAAUAGAUAGUUGCAUUUGAUCAAGGGAAACAUGUCGAAAGACACACUACCUCGAGCACAUAGAUUCAAGAUGUCGCACAUGUUUAGGAGAUGACUGUUGUUAAUAUGUUUAGCUUCUCUUCUCCUCUUUCUUUCCCUAUUUUUGUUUGGCUAAAAGGUGUUAUCACUCUGCCACUGAAGUAGUAAAAGCACUAAUAUCCGCAUUGCUACUUUUACAGAGUACUAUUGUAUUUUUCAAAGGAGUGGUAUAAGGCAGUAGAUUAUGAGAGAUAUUGCCUAACAUGAUCAAUAACCCAAUAAAAGGGGGAAAAGGAAGAGGUCAGUAUUGGCGAGUAUGGACUCCCAUGGCCUCAAUGGUAAACUAAUCUUUAGUUGUGUGUUCAACGAUUCCAGUUGUUCCAAUAUACCAAUAUCAGGCCUUUUGAGUUUGGCAUCACCAUUUGAUUUUCAUAUAAGGUGAAGUUAGGGAAAAUAAAAGCUGCAACGUUGUAUCGAGAAGUAAAGAAGUCGUUAAAAUUGGUGAUAAGACUUUUAUAGUCACGUGUAGUAGAAUUAACGUUUGAAUUUGGAUGAUUUUCAAAUAUUCAUACAUUCAGCUUAGUAGAUGGGCUUGUAGUAGGGGCAAUGAGGUUGAUGGAAGCUGAGGUGAGCAAGAUAAGAGUACAUCACUUGAUGCCAUUAGUAAAUUCCUGAAAUUUUAUAUUCACCGGGAGAGUGAAAUAAAAGGUUUGCUUAUUUUUUCAUCUUCACAUGAUCAAUGACUUAGAGAGUGUUUGGCUAAGCUUAUAAGCUGGUCAUACUGGCUUAUAAGCAAUUUUUGGCUUAUCUACUUGUUUGAUAAAAUUAAAAGUGCUUAUAAGUUAAGUGUUUAUAAGCCAAAAAUAAGCCAAAAGCCAUAAGCUGGUCUCUCCCAACUUAUCAAAUUUCAGCUUAUAAGCACUUUAGGUUUGACCAAGAUAUUUACUAUUCUAUCCCUAAAAUACUUUUUUUAAAACAAAAAUCUUCAUAUAUCCAGUUCUUCAGCUGCUUAUUAUUAAUUUCAGCACUUUUAUCCAAACACAUAACUGCUUAUUUUCCAAAUCAGCUUCAGCACUUAAAAGUACUUUUCAGCACCUAAUGCUUAUCAGCUACUCUAAAUCAGCUAAGCCAAACGGGCUCUUAAUUCAUCCCGUCUACUACCUGGAGUUCAACAUUGACGUUUUCAAUAUUGCCAUAGGUACUAACAAUCAAUUGUAGUUGGAGCUUUUGUUGCCGGACUACUUAAAAUCUGCUAUAUCUUUUUAUGUCAUAUGUUUUAUUGCAGAAUAUUAGAAAAUGGAAGUGUUAGCUUCCUUUUCUAUUUUUCCUUUUUGAUGAGUAAACCGACAGCUCUUUAUAGCUCGAAUUCGAUAGUCGUGGUUGAUAAAGGCUGCUUCUACAUGUUCUGAAAAUGAACUGUUUGCUACAUAUUUUCGUUGAAGGAGUUCUGGUCUAUGUUCUGCAUAUAACAUGCUGCACGAGAAAGCAUUAGAUUGUACGCUAUCCAUUCAUAUGCAAAAUCGGCAGAGAAAAAAAUUGUGCAGGAGGGCCUCAGAUGGUGUAAUUAUUUAUAAACUUUUUAAAUUGAUCUCUUCACAAAACUUAAUGUGAGCUUUUGAGCUGUCUAUUAUUCAUUUUUAUCUUUCAUGUUUAGUUUACCAAAAAUGUACCGUUUUUCUUAAUGUAAAGAUAGUUCAGUCAUAUGCACAAGAUGUGCAUCACUAAAAGAAAGCUUAUGAACUUGACUGAUCACUUGGAAAAUAAAGUUCAUAUGAUUGGCAAUAAACAAUAUAGGUAAGGGUACUGUGUGCUUGAGGAGGGAGUGUAUCAAACUCAGUUAGGUCCUAGGAUGAUUUGAUUUCAUUUGAUUUUGUCUCAUUGUCUUAAGAUAAGCUUCUCAAUUUAGACCAACAAUUUAAGGAACCAUCUAUGUAUUUUCUCUAACUGGUUAUCGAAACAAAAAGUAAGUAGAUGAUGGUAGGUUCAUGGUUAUGUGUAAUAUAUAUUGAUUGCAUGAAAUUGCACAAUUGUAUCAUUAUAUUUCUUGCUCAAGUGCACUGGAACUUUAGAAAUUCAUUUUGAAUCAAGAAAGUGGCAGAGAAGAUCUGAUAUUCUAUUGCAUUUUCAUAUCUUAUUUUUCGAAGAUUAGUUGGCUCCUACAUUAUUUUUGUGUGAACUUUCCAAUUUGAGUGUUUAUUUCUGGUAGAAGUAUUUUUCUUCUUCUUUUAUGUACAUAAGUUCAACUCUUUGAGAAAGUGAUAUCGAAAACAAACAAAAAGAAAGCAAAUUUGUUUGUUGCCUAAGCAGAAUUGUCUUCAUUCAAAUAAGGUAAUUUGAUAAAUAAUGUCCACGACUCUCAAGCUUUUUCGCCAAUGCUUAAAAGCUAACUGAUCAUGUUGUCUCUAAUUCCUAUUGUUCUUACUGGUAGUAUAGCAAGGAAUACGGGUUUCGAAAAUCUGGGAUGCUGACAAAAAAAUUUCAUUAACUGAAAUUUACAUUUGUACGAAAAUUUGUUGAACUCCAGUUCAAAAUUGCACGUGGAACUUAUAUUUUGACCUCCUUUUGCCUUUUGAAUCUUCAUCUCUUUCUUUAUUAGUGAAGAGUCUAAAGACCAAAAUUGUUGUGCCUGUAACAGUUUAUCUUCUUUGUUAUUGCAGUUCUUGCGAUCCGCUGUGGUUGUUUUCUACUUCUGUUAUUCAGUAGCACUCGAACCAGAAGGCAAAUUUUCUAAUCUCUUGUCAUUUAUUUUUAGGUAUUGUAUGUUUUUGCUUGAGUUCUUUUAAAAAAUUAUAAUAAACAUACAUAGAUAUUAGUCACUGUUGAAAGUAUAUUCAGUAAUGUAAAUACGUACAAAUUGCAUGGACAUCUUUUUGCUUUUGAUUUUUUACUUUGUUUUCCUGUAUCUCUGUUUGAUCAAAAUAAACUUUUAUUAUUUUUUGUGCGUCCGAUCAGCUACACUUACUUGGAGAUUUGUGUUUGUUCCAGUGGUUCUAAUCGACGAGUCAUACUGAUCAUUUAUUAUUGUCUUUCUCAAUAUGCUUUCAGGUACUCUUCGCUCUUUCUUUCCCCUUCGUAUAUAAUUUUUACUAUCUAUAUUUUGUUUGUUUGUGGUCGAGCUUCUGCUGAAUUCUAAGUUGGCAUUUAAGGUUCCUAAGAAACAUUUCAGGUUCGUAAGAACGGAACCUCAUCGUUUUAGGUUUUUGGCUUGAAUUAUUGUUUUCGGUUAUGAGUGAGUGUUCUAGCUUCAGAGACUCAUUAAAUGCUACGUCGAAUGAAUCUUAUACGAUUAUAUGAUUAGAAAAUAAAUAUGUUUCUCGACUUACGUGUUUUGUAUUCGUAUAUAUUUUAUGGCAUCGAAAUAAAGUUUAUUUUUCCAUUUUUUUUAUUUGACUAAGUUUAAAAUUUUCAGUGUCCUAAAUGAAAAACAUAUGAUAGUUAAUCAUGACGUUUUCAACAGACUGAAGCAGGGUGACCAAGUGCUUAAUUUUCUUGCUGAUGUUUCUAAAGCUCUUAUUAGAGAAGUAUCUUUAAAAUCUUACUAUCUUAAUGAUUUAUUUAUUUUUACAAUCUUUUGGUAUUAGAUUGCAAUUGAGAGUAAAAAACAGUGAGCCUAAGGACCAACUCGAUUUUGAUUAAAGAAGGAGAAUACUUCCAUUGGCAACUACCAAUAUGGCUGAAAAUCUGGACUCUUGAUGUGGAGGUUUUUAAUUAUUAAAUAAUACCUCAAACUUCAUAUAGGUUCUGCAGGUUUCUUCUCUUCCCAUUGAAUGGCUUUAAUGAUCUAUCUUUGCGUCAAUGAUUAACUUUGUGAGCAUAUUUGUUGGAUGUUGUUCUGGCAUCUUAUUGUACAACAGAAAACAUUUAAAGGAUGUGGAGUAUGUGCAUUAGAUCCUGCUACAUGAUUCAGAUUGCUUUCACUCAUAUGGUGUCUGGGCAAAGGAUUUGAGAAGUUGUCCAGUACCGAAAGUUUUGUCGCUGACAGAGUUGAAACAAGAUAUCUCAGCUCGGGUGUUGCUUCCAUCGAAAUAUACCAGGUACCAAUAUUUUUGACAGAAGCAGGCAAGAAAGGAGCCGAACCAAAGCGUGAUAGCUGCACUAUAUUGCGUAUGCAUAGUAUAUAUUUGAACGUAUUUCUCCCAUAGAUGAAAGGAAUAUGCCAUUUGGCAACCACACAACAUUCAAGAAUGGAUAUUUUGUCAUCCAUAUUCAUAAAUAAUAUCCUACAGUUGGUAUAUAAUAUCGUUAAAGUCAAUUGAUAGUUCUUUA